CCGUUCGAGGGGCUUGUGACCUGUUUAGUGGUGGGACUCUUAAUAGCUCUGGUUUUCGUGUGACGUCUCAUAAAGAUGAAAUGCUCAGAAAGAAAAAUGAAUGCAGACAAUCCCCAACAGUACUUCAAAAAGAAUAAACAUCCACAUGAAGAAGAAGAACAGCUGCAGAGUGUGGCUGUGAUAAAUAAACACAGAGACAGUUCAUUGGACACUGCAGAGGAAAGUUCAAGGUCGAAUGAAAUCCAGUCCAAUUCUCGCACAUUGUAAGUUGUACAGAAAUGAAUCAGUCCAAGGUGAAUUUUGGGCACUGUGCUCUAAAUUGAACACCUGUUGGUCUGCAGCCUGCAUCACUAUCUUCCAGAGAUGUUACUGGACAGAGACU